UGCGUAGAUAUAGGAAGGAACACCAGUGGCGAAGGCGACCACCUGGACUGAUACUGACACUGAGGUGCGAAAGCGUGGGGAGCAAACAGCAUUAGAUACCCUGGUAGUCCACGCCGUAAACGAUGUCAACUAGCCGUUGGGAGCCUUGACCUCUUAGUGGCGCAGCUAACGCAUUAAGUUGACCGCCUGGGGAGUACGGCCGCAAGGUUAAAACUCAAAUGAAUUGACGGGGGCCCGCACAAGCGGUGGAGCAUGUGGUUUAAUUCGAAGCAACGCGAAGAACCUUACCAGGCCUUGACAUCCAAUGAACUUUCCAGAGAUGGAUUGGUGCCUUCGG
rnacentral:rRNA from 1 species